GGCGUGGUAGCAAAGUGGUUACUGCGAUUGACUCGAAUCCUUCAUUCAGGGAAGUCCGAUAUCAAUUCUCCUCGGAGGCGUAGGUUCGAAUCCUGCCCACGUCG